CCUGAGCACCAUUUACUGAGUCCUUUGUUCUCUACUAGUUUGUAGUAGUUCGUAGCAGAGAACAAAGGACUCAGUAAAUGGUGCUCAGG
ensembl:miRNA